rnacentral:rRNA from 1 species
AGUUUGAUGUUUUUUAUAUUAAAUAGUUUCUGCUCAAUGAUUUUUAAAUAGCCGCGGUACUUUGACCGUGCAAAGGUAGCAUAAUAAUUUGGCUUUUAAUUGGAGUCUAGGAUGAAUGAAUUAAUUUUGGACAUUAACUGUCUUAUAUAGUUUAAUUUUAAUUUAAUGAUUAGGUGAAAAUGCCUAUAAAUUAUGAAAAAGACGAGAAGACCCUUGAAAUUUUUAAUUAUAUUAUUUUUAAAUAAGUUUUUUUUGUUGGGGCAACAACAUUACAUUUAAUUAAUUUAUUUUAUUUAUUAUAAGAAAGAUUUAUCAGGUAAAAAUAAAUUACUCUAGGGAUAACAGCAUAAUUUGUUUAUUAGAUUGUGACCUCGAUGUUGGACUAGGGUAUAUUAAGUCUAAAAGAUUUAAUAGUGAGUUCUGUUCGAACUAUUUUUCCCUACAUG